CCAGAAAGGCCUAUUCUUCACACUACUUCCCUGGGCUGGGAAUAACAGAGGCCAAUGUCUGCUGUUCUGUCACAGACAGGCUAUUAUCUCAGACUGUCAUUGGGAGACUUCUUAUAAGGCCUGUGGUGCCCCAGGAAUAAGAGCAAGGCCCUCAGCUGGCUGCACUCAGGGGCUCUGGACUCAGCAGGGCUUUCAUGUUGAGCUGUUUGCUGUGAAUUGGGCUUUUCCUGUAUGUGGCUCUGUUGAACCAUCUCAUCAGACAGGCCCUGAGGAGAGACCUGAUAACAUCUCUCCUGUUCCUGGCAGGUCAUUUCAAGGUUACACUGGGAAUCCCAGAACUUCUGAGCUGAAAGUGUGGUAGGCAAUGACCCCGAUAUCUGCUAAAAGCUGCAAGAUGUUCCGGAUAAAUUUCAUUCUGGGUUGGCCCUCAGGCCACCUAACAGUGCUUCAGCACUCAUCCUGGAGGCCUGACCUUCCUGUAUCCAGACCCAGCCUUGCCUCUGGAUCCACAAAGAAUGUCUCUGAGAGUGGAUGAUUCGGCCCUUAAGCCUGAGAGGCUGAGAGUGGGUAGGGCUCAGUGCCUGGAGCAGGGAAGAGUGGAGGAGGAAGCUCAGGAGGAAGUUUGCCUGGGAACCUGGCACAAAUGUUACUCAGGAUGCACAGUGGGGGUAUUUUCGUGUGUUCAGAGGGCAGAUAUGCGGGUGACUCAACGUUUUGCCUACGUAGUGCCUCUUGUUGCUUGGCUGCCUUAGCUGAUUGAAGUCAUCAGUGGAUAAUGUAGCAGGUGCAAAUGAAUCGGCUACUGAUGGUUUAUACAACCCUGGAGGACGCCCCUACUCUCGGCCUAAUAUGGACAGAAAAUACAGUUAUUGGACUACAGCAUCAAAAUACUACAGCCCUGUGGACGAUGAAUCAGAGCAUCUCCCUCACCCACAGAGACCACAGUGUUCCACAAGAAGGGAAGAUCUGCAGUAGCAAGUCCUGCGGCGGGGGGAGGCUUCGUGUCUCCCCGUCCUAAUUGCUGUCAGUUGCCCUGCACUGAGUGCUCACGAACAAGGAAGGAGGCACUGCGUGUGGUCAUCCCAACUCCUCACAGCUGCUGAAGAGAAAACUCUCAUCCAUAUAUGGUGUUCAAUGGGUUUAUACGUUGAUGACUCCCAUCAUGUAUUUGCAGCCCAAAUUCUGACUUUUCUGUCCUCUGUCUAGAAGAUAUAUCUAUCUAUGUGUCCUUUACACUCCCUGGAUUCACCAUGGCCAAACCUCCUUUUUUUUUUUUUGAGAUGGAGUCUCAAUCUGUUGCCCAGGCUGGAGUGCAGUGGCGGGAUCUCGGCUCACUGCAAUCUCUGCUUCCCAGGUUCAAGUGAUUCUUGUGCCUCAGCCUUCUGAGUAGCUGGGAUUGCAGGCAUGUGCCACCAUGCUGGGCUAAUUUUUUUUUUUUUUUUUUUGACGUGGAGUCUCACUCCUGUCACCCAGGCUGGAGUGCAAUGGUAUGAUCUCGGCUCACAGCAACCUCCACCUCCUGGGUUCAAGCGAUUCUCCUGCCUUAGCCUCCUGAGUAGCUGGGAUUACAGGCGCCUGCCACCAUGCCUGGCUAAUUUUUGUAUUUUUAGUAGAGAUGGGGUUUCACCAUGUUGGCCAGGAUGGGAGAACUAACCUCAGGCAAUCCGCCCACCUCGGCCUCUCAAAGUGCUGGGAUUAUAGGUGUGAGCAACCGUGCCCUGCCUAAUUUUUGUAUUUUUAGUAGAGAUGAAGUUUCGCCAUGUUGGCCAGGCUGGUCUUGAACUGAACUCCUGACCUCAAGAGAUCCGCCCCCUCUCAGCCUCCCAAAGUGUUAGGAUUACAGGUGUGAGCCACCACACCUGGCCCAAUGUUCCCUUUACUAUCCUCUUCCCUCAAACUUUGCUCUUUCUCUGUCCCCACUGUCUCACUUGGUGGUAGCAGCCACUAAGUACCCAAUCCAGAGGCUCUGAGAAGACCCUAGGUGUACCUUUUUUUUUUUUUGAGACAGCGUCUCACUUUGUCACCCAGGCUGGAGUGCAGUGGUGAAGUCAUGGCUCACUGCAGCCUCAAUCUCCUGAGCUCUGGUGAUCUUCCCACCUUAGUCUCCUGAGUAGCUGGGACUGCAAGUGCACACCACCACGCCCAGCUAAUUUGUUGCAUUUUUUUGUAGAGACAGGGUCUCACUGUAUUGCCCAGGCUGGUCUUGAACUCUUGUGCUCAAGUGAUCUGUCCACCUCAGCCUCCCAAAGUGCUGGGAUUUCAGUUGUAAGCCACCUGGCCUGAGAUUUACUUUUUAAUUUUAAUUAAUAGACUAUUUUUCAAGAGCAGUUUUAGGUUUAUGAAAAAUUGAGAAGAUGCUGGGCGUGGUGGCUCACGCCUGUAAUCCCAGCACUUUGGGAGGCUGAGGCGGGUGGAUCACCUGAGGUCAGGAGUUAGAGACCAGCCUGACCGAUAUGGUUAAACCCCGUCUCUACUAAAAAUACAAAAACUAGCUGGGAGUGGGGGCAGGUGCCUGUAGUCCUAGCUACUGGGGAGGCUGAGACAGGAGAAUUGCUUGAACCCAGGAGGCAGAGGUUGCAGUGAGCCGAGAUCAUGCCACUGCACUCCAGCCUGGGCGAUAGAGCAAGACUCCAUCUCAAAAAAAAAAAACAAACAAACAAAAAUUGAGAAGAAAGUAUCAAUAGCCAUAUCCCUCCUCCCCACUAGUUUCCCUUAUUAUUAACCCCUUGGAUGAGUAUGGUUCAUUCGAGUUUGUUACAAUUGAUAAACCAAUAUGGAUACAUUUUUAUUAACUGAAGUCUGUAUUUACAUUAGGGCUCACUCUUUGUGUUGUACUUUUUGUUUGUUUGUUUGUUUGUUUGUUUGUUGAGAUGGAGUCUCGCUCUGUCUCCCAGGCUGGAGUGCAGUGGCACGAUCUUGGCUCACUGCAAAGUCCACCUCCCGGGUUCAAGCAAUUCCCCUACCUCAGCCUCCCAAGUAACUUGGAUUAGAGGCACCCACCACCACACCUAGCUAAUUUUUGUAUUUUUAGUAGAGACAGGGUUUUGCCAUAUUGGCCGGGCUAGUCUCGAACUCCUGACCUCAGGUGAUCUGCCCACUUCGGCCUCCCAAAGUGCUGGGAUUACAGGUGUGAGCCAACAUGCCUGGCCUUGUGUUGUACAUUCUACAUAUAGGUUUUGAGAGACAUUCUGUAUGUUAUUGUAAUGGUGGGUAUAUUUAAUGCCAAGUUUGUUCCUAAAGCACAUAGUGGCCUUGUAGUGGGGUACACAUAGUGUGUCCCCCGAGAAGAGGAGCACUCAGAACAUAUUUGUCAGUCCCUUCCAUCCUUUCUCCCUCUGCCUCAAGGAACACCUACUACCCCAGGUUGGUUCCUGGUUGGCCCUGACCCCGGCUUGCCUGUGUCAGAUGGGAGCUGCCUGUGGUUUGUAGAUUAGCCCUUAUCUUAAAUGCCAAGCUCCAGGUCUGACCUCACACAGAGCUUUGGGCUGAUCUGAUGAUAUUUGGUGAGGAACAGAUGCACUUGGUAAGCUGGGAGUCCAUCUUCUUGACUAUAAGACCUGUGGUUCAGUCUCAGGUCUCACCCUUUGUCCAUUUUACGCACUUAUUCAUUGACUUAGCUUUUACAGCAGGGGCUCCGCAACCAGCCCCAGAUGAUCACAAAAGCUGGGAGGCAGAAGUGACUUGGAACAGCUGAAGUCCUAAAAAAGAGCCUUAGGUCUGAUUUCCAUUCAGUCGUGUUGGCCUCCCUUGCUAGUUAGCUGAGAGGAAGGAGGACUUUCUUUCUACCCCCUCCAACUCCCAUAAGGCCCCCAGUGCUGUCUGUGUUGCUGGAGUGGGAUGGGGUGAGAGAGGGAGAGGGAGUAGAAAGAGAAACACAAGAAAUUCAGGGAGUGAGCCAUAUUCCUGGUCCUCACAUUGGCACUACUGAAGGCCUCUGUUAGCCUUUCAACUCUUGGAUGCCUCAAUGGUUCACUUUAGAAGGAAAAGGGAAUGAUUUGGAAUGCCUGCACUUGUUGCAGGGUGAUUUAUCCAGGGAAAAGGAAUGCAUUGUUCACAUUUCUUAGCCUUUUUUAUUUUUAAUUAAAGUGAUGUGAGCAAUUAAAAUGUUUCCUUCCAAAAAAAGCCCUUUAAAAAUUCUAUGAAGGUAGCCAGAUUUCAAUAUGUUCAUUAUGACUAGAUAUAGAUGUGUAUUUUGUGUAAUGUAGAGGCAUAGGACAUCUAUGUCAUGAACAUUCUAGAACCAUCCCCAGAAAAAUGCAGUUUCAUUAGGCACACACAUAACAUUUGCAUGCAUGGAUGGGGGUGAGUCUUGGAUCUUUUGCAGCCCACCUAGUGAUGGCCACUAGGAUCACAAACUUUAAGAACAGCUCAGUGACCCUAACUUUCAUAUUCUGAUCCUACAUUGCAGUAAGGUGUGUGUGAAGUGACCAAAUUUAAUAGAUAAUAAAAUUACUGGGCUGUGUGCUGCUAUCUGACCAAGGCUUGCUUUGGACAUCCUUGACAAUAUCCUCUACCUUGCCUCUUCAAGGGUUUUAACCUCUCCAUGACAUUGUCCUCUAUGGGAGGGCUCAUGCACCCCACCCCGCCCAAGAACUUCCCCUUAACAACAUUUUACAAAUGCUGUAGAAAAAAUUUUGUGUGGCUGGGCGCCGUGGCUCAUGCCUGUAAUCCCAGCACUUUGGGAGGCCGAGGCAGACAGAUCACUUGAGGUCAGGAGUUCGAGAUCAGCCUGGCCAACAUGGUGAAUCCCGUCUCUACUAAAAGUACAAACAUUAGCUGGGUGUACUUAGCUGGGUGUGGUGGUGCACACCUGUAGUCCCAGCUACUUGGGAGGCUGAGGCAGGAGAAUCGCCUGAACCCGGGAGGCAGAGUUGCAGUGAGCUGAGAUGGUGCCACCGCACUCCAGCCUGGGCAACAGAGCUAGACUCUGACUCAAAAAAAAGAAAAAUGGUGUUUCAGUGUAAAACUAUGCAUUGUCUACAGCAAAGCUGUCAGGGCUAUCAGAUUCUACUAUGCAUUGUCUUUGAGCUAUUUUGCAAGUCUCUGUAAAUUGGAAGUAACUGAUAGAUAUAUAAAUUAUGUCUUGUCUGAUAGUGAUUUAAUUGACUUCCUCCCCUUUUGGAAAAAAAAGCAAUUUAAUCUCCAUUUGCAAUUCAUCUCUACAUUUCUUCACUCAAUAAGAAUUUGUGUGUUUUUGACUUUUCCUUUGAACUAUUGCCUGGUUUCUCGGUAUCAGGAGUAAAUAAAUUUUUCAACAUGUA